UUCUUUUUGAAUGGCUUGGUGUUAAUUACAGUUUAUUUCAGCGAUUAAUUGCGGCACAGCCAAGUUCUGGUGAGCAGGCAUCGGCCCUUCCUGGGCCGCAUCCCCUUGCACAGGAGGUGGCCAUCAGCACUCAGCCUGCACCCUCGUGCCAACUGGUGAUGCCAGCAGACCUGGUAGUGUCAGCCCAUCCUCGGGCAUGGCCUCUGGUCUAACAUUCACCCCUCCCCAUCUCCCCUCUAUCACUGGGGAGAGGGCGGCCAUUGUUACUCAGCUUCAUCCUGUCUGGCUCUCAACUGUGCAAGCCAGGAGAGGUCACCAGAGAGCAUGUCCCAGUCUUCAGCUUGUCCUCUGUCGCUUGAAGUAACAGAAUGUUCCUCUCAUCCCAGGAAGUGCCUGGUGAACCUCCUUCAGACUCUCUCCAAUGCUCCUAUAUCAUUCCUUAAUUUCUUUUUCAGACAGUUUACACUCCAGAACUGUGGAACAAUGUCUUUUGCAUUGAGGCUCUUCACCAGUGUAAACCUGAAGUUGCAUUCUUUCAUCUUGUGGAUCACAAAUGGCAUUAUAGAUGACGGCAUGGAAGCACCUCUACUUUCUUAGAAGAACGCCAUCCAAAAUUUCAACAAACUUCAUACGUAGAUGCACAGGGGAGAGUAUCCUAACUGGCUGCAUGAUGGUGUGCUAUGGAAACACCAAUGACCUGGAGCGGGAAAAUCUACAAAAAGUGGUCGAUACAUCCCAGUUCAUCUUAGGCAAAACCCUCCCCAUCAUUGAGCACAUUUACAACGAGCAGUCAUCAAGGAGUUCUGCCCCCUUCCCCCCCCCAACAUCCAGGCCAUGUUCUCUUCUCAAUAGUGCCACUGCGCAGGAGAUAGGCCUUAGGUCCCACACCACUAGGUUCAGGAACAGUUAUUACCCUAGAAACUUGAGGCUGUUGAGUCGGUGUGGAUGACUUCAACUCUGAAUUGAUUCCACAACCUACAGACUCACUUUCAAGGACUCUUACUUAUUUUUAUUUUUCACAAUUUGUCUUCUCCUGCACAUUGGUUCAAUGUUUAUGCAUACUUUUCAUAAAUCCUGUUGUAUUUACUUUUCCUGUAAAUAACUGCAAGAAAAUGAAUCUCAAGGUAUAUACAGUAUAUGUUAACAUAUACAGUAUGUACUUUAAGAAUAAAUUUGCUUUGAACUUUAAACUUUUGU